rnacentral:rRNA from 1 species
AUUGAACGCUGGCGGCAGGCCUAACACAUGCAAGUCGAGCGGAUGAAGGGAGCUUGCUCCUGGAUUCAGCGGCGGACGGGUGAGUAAUGCCUAGGAAUCUGCCUGGUAGUGGGGGAUAACGUCCGGAAACGGGCGCUAAUACCGCAUACGUCCUGAGGGAGAAAGUGGGGGAUCUUCGGACCUCACGCUAUCAGAUGAGCCUAGGUCGGAUUAGCUAGUUGGUGGGGUAAAGGCCUACCAAGGCGACGAUCCGUAACUGGUCUGAGAGGAUGAUCAGUCACACUGGAACUGAGACACGGUCCAGACUCCUACGGGAGGCAGCAGUGGGGAAUAUUGGACAAUGGGCGAAAGCCUGAUCCAGCCAUGCCGCGUGUGUGAAGAAGGUCUUCGGAUUGUAAAGCACUUUAAGUUGGGAGGAAGGGCAGUAAGUUA